UACGUAGGGUGCGAGCGUUGUCCGGAAUUAUUGGGCGUAAAGCGCGCGUAGGCGGAUCUGCAAGUCGGGGGUGAAAUCCCGAGGCUCAACCUCGGAACUGCCUUCGAUACUGCGGGUCUCGAGUCCGGGAGAGGUGAGUGGAAUUCCUAGUGUAGAGGUGAAAUUCGUAGAUAUUAGGAAGAACACCAGUGGCGAAGGCGGCUCACUGGCCCGGUACUGACGCUGAGGCGCGAAAGCGUGGGGAGCAAACAGG
rnacentral:rRNA from 1 species